AACGAACGCUGGCGGCAUGCCUAACACAUGCAAGUCGAACGAGACCUUCGGGUAUAGUGGCGCACGGGUGCGUAACGCGUGGGAACCUGCCCUUAGGUUCGGAAUAACUCCCCGAAAGGGGUGCUAAUACCGGAUAAUGUCUUCGGACCAAAGAUUUAUCGCCUUUGGUUGGGCCCGCGUUGGAUUAGCUAGUUGGUAGGGUAAAAGCCUACCAAGGCGACGAUCCAUAGCUGGUCUGAGAGGAUGAUCAGCCACACUGGGACUGAGACACGGCCCAGACUCCUACGGGAGGCAGCAGUGGUGAAUAUUGGACCAUGGGCGAAAGCCUGAUCCAGCAAUGCCGCGUGAGUGAUGAAGGCCUUAGGGUUGUAAAGCUCUUUUACCCGGGAUGAUAAUGACAGUACCGGGAGAAUAAGCGCCGGCUAACUACGUG
rnacentral:rRNA from 1 species